rnacentral:rRNA from 1 species
UACGAAGGGGGCUAGCGUUGCUCGGAAUCACUGGGCGUAAAGCGCACGUAGGCGGAUUGCUAAGUCAGGGGUGAAAUCCUGGAGCUCAACUCCAGAACUGCCUUUGAUACUGGCGAUCUUGAGUCCGGGAGAGGUGAGUGGAACUGCGAGUGUAGAGGUGAAAUUCGUAGAUAUUAGGAAGAACACCAGUGGCGAAGGCGGCUCACUGGUCCGGUACUGACGCUGAGGUGCGAAAGCGUGGGGAGCAAACAGG